UAGCGGCGGACGGGUGAGUAAUGCUUAGGAAUCUGCCUAUUAGUGGGGGACAACAUUUCGAAAGGAAUGCUAAUACCGCAUACGUCCUACGGGAGAAAGCAGGGGAUCUUCGGACCUUGCGCUAAUAGAUGAGCCUAAGUCGGAUUAGCUAGUUGGUGGGGUAAAGGCCUACCAAGGCGACGAUCUGUAGCGGGUCUGAGAGGAUGAUCCGCCACACUGGGACUGAGACACGGCCCAGACUCCUACGGGAGGCAGCAGUGGGGAAUAUUGGACAAUGGGCGCAAGCCUGAUCCAGCCAUGCCGCGUGUGUGAAGAAGGCCUUAUGGUUGUAAAGCACUUUAAGCGAGGAGGAGGCUACUUUAGUUAAUACCUAAGAUAGUGGACGUUACUCGCAGAAUAAGCACCGGCUAACUCUGUGCCAGCAGCCGCGGUAAUACAGAGGGUGCAAGCGUUAAUCGGAUUUACUGGGCGUAAAGCGCGCGUAGGCGGCUAAUUAAGUCAAAUGUGAAAUCCCCGAGCUUAACUUGGGAAUUGCAUUCGAUACUGGUUAGCUAGAGUGUGGGAGAGGAUGGUAGAAUUCCAGGUGUAGCGGUGAAAUGCGUAGAGAUCUGGAGGAAUACCGAUGGCGAAGGCAGCCAUCUGGCCUAACACUGACGCUAAGGUGCGAAAGCAUGGGGAGCAAACAGGAUUAGAU
rnacentral:rRNA from 1 species